UCCGUAGGGGAACCUGCGGAGGGAUCAUUACUGAGUUACCGCUCUAUAACCCUUUGUGAACAUACCUAACCGUUGCUUCGGCGGGCAGGGGAAGCCUCUCGCGGGCCUCCCCUCCCGGCGCCGGCCCCACCACGGGGACGGGGCGCCCGCCGGAGGAAACCAAACUCUAUUUACACGACGUCUCUUCUGAGUGGCACAAGCAAAUAAUUAAAACUUUUAACAACGGAUCUCUUGGUUCUGGCAUCGAUGAAGAACGCAGCGAAAUGCGAUAAGUAAUGUGAAUUGCAGAAUUCAGUGAAUCAUCGAAUCUUUGAACGCACAUUGCGCUCGCCAGCAUUCUGGCGAGCAUGCCUGUUCGAGCGUCAUUUCAACCCUCAAGCACCGCUUGGUUUUGGGGCCCCACGGCACACGUGGGCCCUUAAAGGUAGUGGCGGACCCUCCCGGAGCCUCCUUUGCGUAGUAACUAACGUCUCGCACUGGGAUUCGGAGGGACUCUUGCCGUAAAACCCCCCAAUUUUUUACAGGUUGACCUCGGAUCAGGCUAGGAAUACCCGCUGAACUUAAGCAUAUCAAUAACCGGAGGAA
rnacentral:rRNA from 1 species